UCGAUAACGAACGAGACCUCGACCUGCUAAAUAGUGUAGCGAAUUCUUCGGGAUUCGUGUAGACUUCUUAGAGGGACUUUAGAUGAGUAGUCUAAGGGUCUGUGAUGCCCUUAGAUGUUCUGGGCCGCACGCGCGCUACACUGACUGGUUCAUCGAGCUUACAACCUUGACCGAUAGGUCUGGGUAAUCUUUUGAAAGCCAGUCGUGCUUAGAUCAUUGCAAUUAUUGAUCUUCAACGAGGAAUUCCUAGUAAACGCGAGUCAUCAACUCGCAUUGAUUACGUCCCUGCCCUUUGUACACACCGCCCGUCGCUACUACCGAUUGAAUGGCU
rnacentral:rRNA from 1 species